ACACGACUACAUUAGAUACCCGUGUAGUCCUAGCCGUAAACGAUACUCGCUAGGUGUCGGCCACGGUGCGACCGUUGUCGGGUGCCGUAGGGAAGCCGUGAAGCGAGCCACCUGGGAAGUACGGUCGCAAGGCUGAAACUUAAGGAAUUGGCGGGGAGCACCACAACAGGUGGAGCCUGCGGUUUAAUUGGAUUCAACGCCGGACAUCUCACCGGAUAAGACAGCUGAAUGAUUGUCAAUCUGAAGGUUUUACAUGACUAGCUG
rnacentral:rRNA from 1 species